rnacentral:rRNA from 1 species
UACGUAGGUGGCGAGCGUUGUCCGGAAUCACUGGGCGUAAAGGGCGCGUAGGCGGCGAUACAAGUCGCAUGUGAAAUACCAGGGCUUAACCCUGGGGGGCCAUGCGAAACUGUAUUGCUUGAGUGCAGUAGAGGAAAGCGGAAUUCCUGGUGUAGCGGUAAAAUGCGUAGAGAUCAGGAGGAACACCGGUGGCGAAGGCGGCUUUCUGGGCUGCAACUGACGCUGAUGCGCGAAAGCGUGGGGAGCAAACAGG